UACGGGGGGGGGCAAGCGUUAUUCGGAAUUACUGGGCGUAAAGCGCACGUAGGCGCUUUGUAAGUAAGAGGUGAAAGCCUGGAGCUCAACUCCAGAACUGCCUUUUAGACUGCAUCGCUUGAAUCCAGGAGAGGUGAGUGGAAUUCCGAGUGUAGAGGUGAAAUUCGUAGAUAUUCGGAAGAACACCAGUGGCGAAGGCGGCUCACUGGACUGGUAUUGACGCUGAGGUGGCGAAAGCGUGGGGAGCAACAGG
rnacentral:rRNA from 1 species